CCCUUAGACGUUCUGGGCCGCACGCGCGCUACACUGACCAGUGCAACAAGCAUCCGUCCUUGGCCGACAGGCUCGGGCAAUCUUUGAACGCUGGUCGUGAUGGGGAUAGACUUUUGCAAUUUUUGGUCUUCAACGAGGAAUUCCUAGUAAACGCAAGUCAUCAACUUGCAUUGAUUACGUCCCUGCCCUUUGUACACGCCGCCCGUCGCACCUACCGAUUGAAUGGUCCGGUGAAGCCUCCGGAUUGGCGCGCACCUCGGUGCCGCCGAGAAGUUGGCUAAACCUUACCAUUUAGAGGAAGGUGAAGUCGUAACA
rnacentral:rRNA from 1 species